AUGCUCAUUUUAGCAGCACAUAUACUAAAAGUGGAAUGAUACAGAAAAGAUUAGCAUUGCCUCUGUGCAAGGAAGACACGCAAAUCUGUGAUGUGUGCCAUAAGAAA
ensembl:snRNA U6 U6 spliceosomal RNA